CCUAGAAAAGGCAAAAAGACAAAAAAAAAAAAAAAAGAUGAAACCCCAAAGUCUCUGGCCGGGUCUCCUUGUGAUGGCCCUUCCACCACCUUGACCAGCCUGGGCUGCUCACUCCCUGCUGGAGAAGCAAUGUUGCCCAUGCCUCAACCCGCCACCACGUGUAACCUGUUCCCCAUGCAAAUAAGUUAUCCUGCCCAAGACCCAGCAGAAGAUCAAGCUGGGUCUCCACUCAGUUUGUGGGGUAUAAAGACUAUUGUAGAGUGAGUUGGGCACUCUUUUUUAACCAGCAUGCAAGGUACUUUCACUUUAAGAAAUGUGUAACCCGUCCACUGUUCCAGUGCUUCGUUAGGGUGAGAUGGGACCAAGGAACCUGAUGGUAUCAACUUUUCAGAGCAUCCUCUGGGGCUGGGCAGGAGGGGAGGGGACUGCCUUGAUGGGAAAAGACCUGCCCUCAGUCUGGCCAGGGCAGCCCUGCCCCUACCCCCCACCUCCAGCCCACCAGGCUAAGAAGGCUUCCACCAGACUCCGUCCCCUGUCCACUCUGGGACCUGGGACCACAGCCCUGGCUGCAGGCAGAGGGCAGGCAGGCCCACCCUACCCCUUCGCUCUCUCGACCUGCUAUGCACACUGCGCACGGCCCCCACUGCUGCCACUCAGCUGACCUUGCCCAGUGUUCAGAGAACCCGCAUUUCAGCCCAGCGCACCAGCGGGCCCCCAGUCCACGGAGCACUCCCCCCCACUUCCCUGCUGAAGGCAGAGGCGCCAUCUGCAGCUCCUCCUCCCCCAGCCCAGCCCCCUUCAGGACCGUUCUCCCACUUUCCAAGCCUCUCCUGGUCCAGCCCCUCCCCCUUGUCCUCAUCAGGCAUUUCCUCAUGCCCAGAGCCCCCCCCACCCUGAAUCCUAGGGGCUCGCCUGCUCCAGAGGGGGUGCACCAGCCCUUUAAAAAGAACCUAAUGAAAAACAGGCUUGGGGGGGGCGGGGAACGGGUGCUGAUUAAUCAUCCUUUCCUCCAAAUAGCCAGGAAUGAGUGGGGCUGGGGCCUCGCAGCGCAGGCAGCUGAGAGCUCAGAUGUUGCCUUAAAAGGAGAAGCAGCCCGCGGCCUCCCAGGGCUGGGAUUUCCACGGAGCCAAGCUCCUCGGCACAAAGCAGAGCUGCCUCCUGGCUCGUCGGAGACUUCUGCCUCUAGAACUGGGUGUGCAUCCUGGUGACCUCCAGAGGCCCCCUACAGGCUGCAGCCAGAGCCACCUCCUCGGCAAUGUCACCUGGUCAUUUCGGGAUGAAGCCCAGACCUCUCAGCUGGCAUGCAGCUCUUGGUGACCUGGCUGGAGCCCAUGUCUGAGCCCGUCCCCUCCUGCCUGCACUCAGGCCACCCUGUGCCCGGCUGCAUUUGGGUGCCGUUCCUGCCAUCCAGGGUGUCCUGUGUCCACCCCCCAACCCCGGCUCUGGCGUCCCCAGAUGCUCAACUUCCCUCAUCCAUCUCUUUCUCCCUCCUUCCUCCUUUUUAACUUUUUAUUAAGGGAACUGCAGGUGCACAAAACUGGAGCAUGGCGACCUCUGGGCGCCCAGUCAGUGACGCCACCCCACCUGUGUUCCUCCCACCCCCGGAUUAUUCUGAGGCAAAUUCCAGGGCCACAGCCUAGGGGUCAAAUCGGAGCUGCAGCUGCCAACCUAUGCCACAGCUACAGCCAUGCUGGAUCCUUAACCCACUGAGCGAGGCCAGGGAUCGAACCCGCCACCUCAUGGUUCCUCGUCAGAUUCGUUUCUGCUGCACCACAAUGGGAACUCUGGAGACAUUUUACACUCUUUCUUCCUGCUGAGUCUCAGGGGUCUGUAAUGAACCUCACUCAGAGCCUGUCUCAGGGCCCUCGUGGGGCGGGGUCACUGUCCUGGAUGGUGCAGAUUCAGGGUGGCCCCACCUCCCUGUUUAUUCCUGUCUGUGAUGAGCAAUAGAAGCCCUAAAUCAUCGGGA